ensembl:lncRNA
CAGGACAUCCAGCUGAAGGAGAUAUGAGGCCCCUAGGACAUCCAGCUGAAGGAGAUAUGAGGCCCCCAGGACAUCCAGCUGAAGGAGAUAUGAGGCCCCCAGGACAUCCAGCUGAAGGAGAUAUGAGGCCCCCAGGACAUCAGGACAUCCAGCUGAAGGAGAUGUGGCCCCCAGGACAUCCAGCUGAAGGAGAUAUGAGGCCCCUAGGACAUCCAGCUGAAGGAGAUAUGAGGCCCCUAGGACAUCCAGCUGAAGGAGAUAUGAGGCCCCCAGGACAUCCAGCUGAAGGAGAUAUGAGGCCCCCAGGACAUCCAGCUGAAGGAGAUAUGAGGCCCCUAGGACAUCCAGUGAUCAACAGUCAUACGUUGAAGGGAACAUUAUAUCACUGUAACCCCUGUAGUAAAACAAAACAGGAGUUUAUGAUCUAUGCAUAGCCACUUUACCCCUACCUACAUGUACAAGUCCAUGCUAGGUAAAGCUCCGCCUUAUCUCAGUUCACUGUUCACGAUGGCAACACCCACCCAUAGCACGCGCUCCAGCAGGUGUAUCUCACUGAUCAUCCCUAAAGCCAACACCUCAUUUGGCCACCUUUCGUUCCAGUUCUCUGCUGCCUGUGACUGGAACGAAUUGCAAAAAUCGCUGAAGUUGGAGACUUUUAUCUCCCUCACCAACUUCAAACAUCUGCUAUCUGAGCAGCUAACCGAUCGCUGCAGCUGUACAUAGUCCAUGGUAAAUAGCCCACCCAAUUCACCUACCUCUUCCCCAUACUGUUUAUAUUUAUUUACUUUUCUGCUCUUUUGCACACCAAUAUCUCUACCUGUACAUGACCAUCUGAUCAUUUAUCACUCCAGUGUUAUUAAUCUGCAAAAUUGUAAUUAUUCGCCUACCUCCUCAUGCCUUUUGCACACAACGUAUAUAGACUCCCUUUUUUUUCUACUGUGUUAUUGACUUGUUAAUUGUUUACUCCAUGUGUAACUCUGUGUUGUCUGUUCAGACUGCUAUGCUUUAUCUUGGCCAGGUCGCAGUUGCAAAUGAGAACUUGUUCUCAACUAGCCUACCUGGUUAAAUAAAGGUGAAAUAAAAUAAAUUUAAAAAACAAAUUAACUCGACUAACCUGUACACCCGCACAUUGACUAUGUACCGGUAACCCCUCAUUACUAACCAGUACCCCUUGUAAAUAGCCUCAUUAUUGUUAUUUUAUUCUGUUACAUUUUUAGUAUUUAAUUUUUUACAACUUUUGUUUAUUUAUUAAAUAUUUUAACUAUAUUUCUUGAACUGCAUUGUUGGUUAAGGGCUUGUAAGUAGCAUUUCAUGGUUAGGUCUGCUACACCAGUUGUAUUCGGCAUUUCCUGGUUAGGUCUGCUACACCAGUUGUAUUCGGCAUUUCAUGGUUAGGUCUGCUACACCAGUUGUAUUCGGCAUUUCCUGGUUAGGUCUGCUACACCAGUUGUAUUCGGCAUUUCAUGGUUAGGUCUGCUACACCGGUUGUAUUGGGCAUUUCAUGGUUAGGUCUACUACACCGGUUGUAUUCGGCUCAUGUGACAUAACAUUUUAUUUGAUUUGUGUUACACACUCAAUGAUA